rnacentral:rRNA from 1 species
CNANGANGGGUGCANGCGUUAUCNGGAAUUACUUGGGCGUAAAGCGCGCGUAGGUGGUUGAAUAAGUUGGAUGUGAAAUCCCCGGGCUUAACCUGGGUCGGUCAUUCAAAACUGUUCAACUAGAGUAUGGUAGAGGGUAGUGGAAUUUCUAGUGUAGCGGUGAAAUGCGUAGAUAUUAGAAGGAACACCAGUGGCGAAGGCGACUGCCUGGACUGAUACUGACACUGAGGUGCGAAAGCGUGGGUAGCGAACAGGAUUAGAUACCCUGGUAGUCCACGCCGUAAACGAUGACAACUAGACGUUGGGUUCCUUAGAGAACUUAGUGUCGAAGCUAACGCGUUAAGUUGUCCGCCUGGGGAGUACGGUCGCAAGAUUAAAACUCAAAGAAAUUGACGGGGGCCCGCACAAGCGGUGGAGCAUGUGGUUUAAUUCGAUGCAACGCGAAGAACCUUACCAUCCCUUGACAUCCAGAGAAUCUGUUAGAGAUAGUAGAGUGCCUUCGGGAACUCUGAGACAGGUGCUGCAUGGCUGUCGUCAGCUCGUGUCGUGAGAUGUUGGGUUAAGUCCCGCAACGAGCGCAACCCUUAUCUUUAGUUUGCUAACAUUCAGUUGAGGACUCUAAAGAGACUGCCGGUGACAAACCGGAGGAAGGUGGGGA